UACGAAGGGGGCUAGCGUUGCUCGGAUUGACUGGGCGUAAAGGGCGCGUAGGCGGUUCGUACAGUCAGACGUGAAAUUCCUGGGCUCAACCUGGGGGCUGCGUUUGAUACGUGCGGACUUGAGUGCGGAAGAGGGUCGUGGAAUUCCCAGUGUAGAGGUGAAAUUCGUAGAUGUUGGGAAGAACACCGGUGGCGAAGGCGGCGACCUGGUCCGAUACUGACGCUGAGGCGCGAAAGCGUGGGGAGCAAACAGG
rnacentral:rRNA from 1 species